rnacentral:rRNA from 1 species
AGAACGAACGCUGGCGGCAUGCCUAACACAUGCAAGUCGAACGUGAUCCAGGCUUCGGCCUGGUGAAAGUGGCAGACGGGUGAGUAACGCGUGGGAACCUGCCCUGUGGUAGGGAAUAACCGUGGGAAACUGCGGCUAAUACCCUAUGAGUCCUUCGGGAGAAAGAUUUAUCGCCAUAGGAGGGGCCCGCGUCGGAUUAGGUAGUUGGUGGGGUAACGGCCUACCAAGCCUUCGAUCCGUAGCUGGUCUGAGAGGAUGAUCAGCCACACUGGGACUGAGAUACGGCCCAGACUCCUACGGGAGGCAGCAGUGGGGAAUAUUGGACAAUGGGGGCAACCCUGAUCCAGCAAUGCCGCGUGGAUGAUGAAGGCCUUCGGGUUGUAAAGUCCUUUCGGCGGGGAAGAUGAUGACGGUACCGCAGAAGAAGCCCCGGCUAACUUCGCGCCAGCAGCCGC